CUAAUACUCCCUCCGUUCGAAAAAGCUUGUCCCUCAAAUGGAUGUAUCUAGCACCAAGUUAGUGCUAAAUACAUCCAUUUGAGGGACAAGCUUUUUCGGACGGAGAGAAUACCUU
rnacentral:pre_miRNA from 1 species